rnacentral:rRNA from 1 species
UUGAUCCUGGCUCAGAAUCAACGCUGGCGGCGUGCCUAACACAUGCAAGUCGAACGCGGUUAUCCAGCAAUGGAUGACUGAGUGGCGAACGGGUGAGUAUCACGUGGGUGACCUACCUUCGAGUGGGGGAUAACGUCCCGAAAGGGACGUUAAUACCGCAUAACAUCCUGCCUUUGAACAGGCGGUGAUCAAAGCCGGGUACCGUAAGGCCCGGCGCUUGAUGAGGGGCUCGCGUCUGAUUAGCUAGUUUGUGAGGUAACGGCCCACCAAGGCGACGAUCAGUAUCCGGCCUGAGAGGGUGGACGGACACACUGGGACUGAGACACGGCCCAGACUCCUACGGGAGGCAUCAGUGGGGAAUUGUUCACAAUGGGCGCAAGCCUGAUGACGCAACGCCGCUUGGAGGAUGAAGGUCUUCGGAUUGUAAACUCCUGUUGCCCGGGACGAAAUGCUCUGACCUAACACGUCGGAGUCUGACGGUACCGGGUGAGGAAGCCCCUGCUAACUCUGUGCCAGCAGCCGCGGUAAUAAGGU